CAUUAAAUGUGCUACAUCAGCAGAAUAACCUCAUCAGUCUUACCUCAUCAUUCAUUUUUCAGUUUUCACCCCAAUAACCCUUGCUCCUUGACCCUUGUUCCUUGCUCAGCAUUGCUCUCUUAACAACAGGUAUCCUAAAGUAAAUUCUUUACAUCGGCAGAGCUUGAGUUAAACCCACCAGAGCAACAAAUAUAACCUGAUCCCCAUUACCACCCAGCAAACACUGACAAAGACACACAAAACAGUUUGUAUCACCAUUUUCUGCUUACAUAAUGCAUUUUAAAACAAUUUAGAUUUUCCCUGGCAUAGGAAAAAAAAUGGUGUAACUAUUUGGCAUCUGUUGGAUCAUUGGUAUUAACGGAUGGCUGAGCAUGUUGCUAAAAUAAACUGUGACAACAAAGAUCUAGUGAGACAGAAUCAAGUCGGUGGAUUAACAACACCUUUGAUGAUUGUAUUAGAUAUGCUGUAUACACAAACCCUCACGAGCGAACAGCCCACCCACACCCACACGUAUUAAGCUCCUGACAGUGUUGUCAUUUGGCACGAUACCAGUCUGUCCACAGCUUUGUGGUCGACUGAAUUUCAGAAACAUCCUCAUCUCCCUCCCCUCCUUACCUGUUGUGUACCUGACUCUAACCUCUGCUCUCACCCCGACACCACUGCCUUUAAUUACACUAAUUACAAGCAAUUACACGACACUACUCAUGCCUGCCUCAAGGCCUGUUUCCUUCUCCCACUGCACUGUGCGAUUCUGAGGAUCUCUGUGGAACAACAGAAGAUAAUGGCGUAUUCUGGAGCUGCUUGGACUCUCAUUCUGAUGACACCCAUUCACUGCAGAAGAUCCAUCGGCUGAGCAAGUGAUGUAAUAUCAAUUUUCUCCAAAUCUGUUUCGACAAAGAAACAAACUCAUCUACAUCUUGAAUGGCCUGAGGGUGAGUACAUUUCAGCAAAUUUAAUUUUUUUGGAUGAACUCCUUUAGAUGCAUGAAUGCCAUUGUACUAGAUAAAAUCACAGCACAAGCACACUUU
rnacentral:lncRNA from 1 species